UUAUAUUAAAUAUUAUAUUAAAUAUUUUAGUAAACAUCUUAUUAAACAUUAUUUUUUCACAUUUUCUCCUACAGUAACGGCAAAAAAUAUAAAUGCAGUCAAAUACAUAAUGAAGGCACCUUAGCGUUCACAUUUUUGGUUAGAGCCAUACAAUGAGACUCAAUAACAAGUUGUUCGAGUCCCAACCAAACACCAUACAAAAGUUCCUGUUUCAUCACUAAUUCGUAUGAGUAUUGAAACAGCAUUAUGAAACAAUCAGUUAUUUACAGUUAUUACAAUAAGUCCAUUCAAAAGAACAUUAGACUGUGAUGAAACACAUAAAGGUUCUGCAAAGCUUUAUUAACAUCUACAAAAUAUGCUAAUUUAUCAAUGAAUAUAACUCUAGUUGCCUCCUUAAACAUUUGGAAAAUGUUAUUAACAUUAAGUAAAACUUGUUAACAAUUAAAAUUUUUAAUUAAACAUUUAACUAAAUAAAAGUAA